UACGAAGGGGGCUAGCGUUGCUCGGAAUUACUGGGCGUAAAGCGUGCGCAGGCGGUUUUGUAAGCCAGAUGUGAAAUCCCCGGGCUUAACCUGGGAAUGGCAUUUGGGACUGCAAAGCUGGAGUGCGGCAGAGGGGACUGGAAUUCCUGGUGUAGCAGUGAAAUGCGUAGAGAUCAGGAGGAAUACCGAUGGCGAAGGCAGGUCCCUGGGUUGACACUGACGCUCAUGCACGAAAGCGUGGGGAGCAAACAGG
rnacentral:rRNA from 1 species